CUGGUUGAUCCUGCCAGUAGUCAUACGCUUGAGUCAAAGAUUAAGCCAUGCAUGUCUAAGUUUAAGUAAAUUUAAACAGCGAAACUGCGAACGGCUCAUUAUAUCAGUUUGAAUCUAUUUGGUAUUGUUUUAUAUAAUUGGAUAUUCGUAGUAAUUCUAGGCUAAUACAUGCAUAAAUACCUGACGUUUUCGAAGGGUAGUAUUUAUUAGAUUAAAACCAAUCGUGGUAAUACACGUUUUGUGUUGAUUCAUAAUAACUAAGCGAAUCGCAGUAGCAUUUAAUUGCGGCGAUGUGCCAUUACCGAUCCUGCCCUAUCAGUUGUCGAUUCCAGGGUCGUGUCCUGGAAUGACGUUGACGGGUGACGGGGAAUUAGGGUUUGAUUCCGGAGAGGGAGCUCGAGAGA
rnacentral:rRNA from 1 species